UAAUACGGAGGGUGCAAGCGUUGUCCGGAUUUAUUGGGUUUAAAGGGUGCGUAGGUGGCCUAUUAAGUCAGUGUUUAAAGUCUGCAGCUUAACUGUAGUUAUGGCAUUGAUACUGAUAGGCUUGAGUAAAGUUGAGGUAGGCGGAAUUGAAGGUGUAGCGGUGAAAUGCAUAGAUAUCUUCAAGAACACCGAUUGCGAAGGCAGCUUACUAAGCUUUAACUGACACUGAGGCACGAAAGCGUGGGGAUCAAACAGGAUUAGAUACCCUGGUAGUCCACGCCGUAAACGAUGAUUACUCGAUGUUAGCGAUAUACUGUUAGCGUCUUAGCGAAAGCGUUAAGUAAUCCACCUGGGGAGUACGAUCGCAAGAUUG
rnacentral:rRNA from 1 species